CCGUCUCACUAUAAGGAGACAUCGUUCGAGUUUUACUCGACCCACGAACCUUGACCUCAAAUCGGGUGAGACUACCCGCUGAACUUAAGCAUAUCAAUAAGCGGAGGAAAAGAAACUAACAAGGAUUCCCCUAGUAACUGCGAGUGAAGCGGGAAAAGCUCAAAUUUAAAAUCUGGUGGCCUUGCAGUCAUCCGAGUUGUAAUUUAGAGAAGCGUCUUCCGCGCUGGACCAUGCACAAGUCUCCUGGAAUGGAGCGUCAUAGAGGGUGAGAAUCCCGUCUUUGGCAUGGAUGCACCAGGGCUUCUGCGAUGCGCUCUCGAAGAGUCGAGUUGUUUGGGAAUGCAGCUCAAAAUGGGUGGUGAACUCCAUCUAAAGCUAAAUAUUGGCGAGAGACCGAUAGCGAACAAGUACCGUGAGGGAAAGAUGAAAAGCACUUUGGAAAGAGAGUGAAACAGUACGUGAAAUUGUUGAAAGGGAAACGCUUGAAGUCAGUCGCGUCGACCGAGACUCAGCCUUGCUUUGGCUUGGCGUAAUUCUUGGCCGACGGGUCAGCAUCAAUUUUGCCCUUUGGAUAAUGACGAGGGAAAGGUGGCACCUUUGCGGGUGUGUUAUAGUCUCUCGUCGGAUACAAGGGUCGGGAUUGAGGAACUCAGCACGCGCCUUUUGGUGUCGGGGCUUAGGCCUACGUUUACGUGCUUAGGAUGCUGGCAUAAUGGCUUUAAACGACCCGUCUGGAAAACACGGACCA
rnacentral:rRNA from 1 species